rnacentral:rRNA from 1 species
AAUGAACGCUGGCGGCAUGCCUAACACAUGCAAGUCGAACGAAGGCUUCGGCCUUAGUGGCGCACGGGUGCGUAACGCGUGGGAAUCUACCCUUGGGUUCGGAAUAACAGUUAGAAAUGACUGCUAAUACCGGAUGAUGACGUAAGUCCAAAGAUUUAUCGCCCAGGGAUGAGUCCGCGUAGGAUUAGCUAGUUGGUGUGGUAAAGGCGCACCAAGGCGACGAUCCUUAGCUGGUCUGAGAGGAUGAUCAGCCACACUGGGACUGAGACACGGCCCAGACUCCUACGGGAGGCAGCAGUGGGGAAUAUUGGACAAUGGGCGAAAGCCUGAUCCAGCAAUGCCGCGUGAGUGAUGAAGGCCUUAGGGUUGUAAAGCUCUUUUACCCGGGAUGAUAAUGAC